rnacentral:rRNA from 1 species
GACGAACGCUGGCGGCGUGCUUAAUACAUGCAAGUCAACUGAACUUGAAGUAGCAAUAUUUUAAGGGAGGUGGCGCACGGGUGAGUAACACGUAGGUAAUCUGCCUUUAGGUCUGACACAACCCCGAGAAAUCGGGGCUAAUAUCAGAUGAUGCAGCGGCUCGACAUCGAGACAGUUGUUAAACCUUCGGGGCCUAAAGAUGAGCCUGCGUCUGAUUAGGUAGUUGGCGGAGUAAAAGCCCACCAAGCCUGCGAUCAGUAGCUGGUCUGAGAGGAUGAUCAGCCACACUGGAACUGAGACACGGUCCAGACUCCUACGGGAGGCAGCAGUAAGGAAUAUUGCUCAAUGGCCGAAAGGCUGAAGCAGCAACGCUGCGUGGAGGACGAAAUACUUUUGUAUGUAAACUCCUGUAAGAAGGGAAAAUAUUCCGAUUUUAUCGGGAUUGAUUGUACCUUCAGAGUAAGCCCCGGCUAACUACGUGCCAGCA